rnacentral:rRNA from 1 species
AUUGAACGCUGGCGGCAGGCCUAACACAUGCAAGUCGAGCGGAUGAAGGGAGCUUGCUCCUGGAUUCAGCGGCGGACGGGUGAGUAAUGCCUAGGAAUCUGCCUGGUAGUGGGGGAUAACAUCCGGAAACGGGCGCUAAUACCGCAUACGUCCUGAGGGAGAAAGUGGGGGAUCUUCGGACCUCACGCUAUCAGAUGAGCCUAGGUCGGAUUAGCUAGUUGGUGGGGUAAAGGCCUACCAAGGCGACGAUCCGUAACUGGUCUGAGAGGCUGAUCAGGCACACUGGAACUGAGACACGGUCCAGACUCCUACGGGAGGCAGCAGUGGGGAAUAUUGGACAAUGGGCGAAAGCCUGAUCCAGCCAUGCCGCGUGUGUGAAGAAGGUCUUCGGAUUGUAAAGCACUUUAAGUUGGGAGGAAGGGCAGUAAGUUAAUACCUUGCUGUUUUGACGUUACCAACAGAAUAAGCACCGGCUAACUUCGUG